GCCCAGAUAGCUCAGUCGGUAGAGCAGGGGACUGGAAAAUCCCCGUGUCGGUGGUUCGAUUCCGCCUCUGGGCACCA
rnacentral:tRNA from 1 species